rnacentral:rRNA from 1 species
UACGAAGGGGGCUAGCGUUGCUCGGAAUCACUGGGCGUAAAGCGCACGUAGGCGGAUCUUUAAGUCAGGGGUGAAAUCCCAAGGCUCAACCUUGGAACUGCCUCUGAUACUGGGUAUCUUGAGUCCGGAAGAGGUGAGUGGAAUUCCGAGUGUAGAGGUGAAAUUCGUAGAUAUUCGGAGGAACACCAGUGGCGAAGGCGGCUCACUGGUCCGGUACUGACGCUGAGGUGCGAAAGCGUGGGGAGCAAACAGG